UCCAACCUGGAAUUGGGCAAUUUUGUUUGAGGAAGCAAUGAAACCAUUCAAGUAUUUGAGGCAGUAGAUGCUCCAGACAGGAUGUCUAGAACAUGCUGUAAAAGCCAUUCUGGUCCUAACAGAAUGAAGGAAGUGUCAAAGUGUGCUACUACAAUUUAGCCUGGUGUAAGAUGCAGCCAAAGAGAACGAAAUGGCCAGCAGCUUCCCCAAAGGGGGAGUUUGCUACUCAUGGAUAUUGCUAUUAGUUCAGUUAGGAAGGAUUUAUUUCACAAUUGUCUAAAGCGGCAGAGCUCACAUAGAUAACUAAUCAGGUACCAUAGUGGGAACCAAGCAUGUUGUCCAAUUAGUGUUUCACUUCAGGUGUAGGAUCACCUGCGUGGCAGAACAGUCCACAAUAUAGCAAAAUGGAACAUCUAUACUGGCCGGCUAUUUGGAUUUAAGAAUAACAUUUUGUAACCAAACUGGGGGAAGGGACAGUGCCCAGGCCUUGC